ACUAUGGAGUAAUUUAUCAUUGUACUCGAUAAAUUUGAAAACUUACAUACCGUUGGUUUGUACAUGGAGUUUUUUUUAUUAAGGGUAUUUUUGGUCAUUAGUAGGGGUGUGACGUCAUCUACAUGGGGUGUGACGUCACACUAGUGGCUUUUAAUGCUCCAUGUAGGUGAUGUCACAUCUCAUGUAGAUGACGUCACACCCCUGCUAGUGACAAAAAAUACCUUUACUAAAACAAAGCUCUAUAUACAAAAUAAGGGUAUAUAAAUGUCCAAAUUUUGUUGAGUACAAUAGUAAAUUACUCCAUAGU
rnacentral:pre_miRNA from 1 species